AUACGUAGGGGGCAAGCGUUGUCCGGAAUUACUGGGCGUAAAGGGUGCGUAGGCGGUUAUUUAAGUCAGAUGUGAAAUCCCCGGGCUUAACUCGGGUGGUGCAUUUGAAACUGGGUAACUAGAGUGCAGGAGAGGGAAGCGGAAUUCCUAGUGUAGCGGUGAAAUGCGUAGAUAUUAGGAGGAACACCAGUGGCGAAGGCGGCGUUCUGGACUGUAACUGACGCUGAGGCACGAAAGCGUGGGGAGCAAACAGGAUUAGAUACCCUGGUAGUCCACGCUGUAAACGAUGGAUACUAGGUGUAGGGGGCUAAAGCCCUCUGUGCCGCAGCAAACGCAAUAAGUAUCCCGCCUGGGGAGUACGGCCGCAAGGUUGAA
rnacentral:rRNA from 1 species